rnacentral:antisense_RNA from 1 species
UCGCACAUUUUGUUGUCUGCUGCUGUAUUUUCGCGACACAGUUGAUCAUACGACAAGAUGGUCCUCCA